rnacentral:rRNA from 1 species
CCCUUAGAUGCUCUGGGCCGCACGCGCGCUACACUGGUCGAUGCAACGAGUUUCUUUCCUUGGCCGUCAGGCCUGGGCAAUCUUUGAACAUCGAUCGUGAUCGGGAUAGAUUCUUGUAAUUUUUGAUCUUAAACGAGGAAUUCCUAGUAAACGCAAGUCAUCAGCUUGCAUUGAUUACGUCCCUGCCCUUUGUACACACCGCCCGUCGCACCUACCGAUUGAAUGGUCCGGUGAAAUCUCCGGACUGGCGUGAGUCGGAGCAAUCUGACAAACACCGGAAAGUUGAUUAAACCUUACCAUUUAGAGGAAGGUGAAGUCGUAACA